rnacentral:rRNA from 1 species
UAGGGAAUCUUCCACAAUGGGCGCAAAGCCUGAUGGAGCAACACCGCGUGAGUGAAGAAGGGUUUCGGCUCGUAAAGCUCUGUUGUUGGAGAAGAACGUGCGUGAGAGUAACUGUUCACGCAGUGACGGUAUCCAACCAGAAAGUCACGGCUAACUACGUGCCAGCAGCCGCGGUAAUACGUAGGUGGCAAGCGUUAUCCGGAUUUAUUGGGCGUAAAGCGAGCGCAGGCGGUUGCUUAGGUCUGAUGUGAAAGCCUUCGGCUUAACCGAAGAAGGGCAUCGGAAACCGGGCGACUUGAGUGCAGAAGAGGACAGUGGAACUCCAUGUGUAGCGGUGGAAUGCGUAGAUAUAUGGAAGAACACCAGUGGCGAAGGCGGCUGUCUGGUCUGCAACUGACGCUGAGGCUCGAAAGCAUGGGUAGCGAACAGGAUUAGAUACCCUGGUAGUCCAUGCCGUAAACGAUGAGUGCUAGGGGUUGGAGGGUUUCCGCCCUUCAGUGCCGGAGCUAACGCAUUAAGCACUCCGCCUGGGGAGUACGACCGCAAGGUUGA